rnacentral:lncRNA from 1 species
GUCGAUAUUCACAAAUCAUACCAUAUAUUGUUUCAUUUAUGAGUUUGUAAUACUACAUAUAUCACAAUUCAUAGUAUGUAAAACUUACACCCUCGCAAGUAACCAAAAAUCCAGACAAUCUCAAACGAAACAUGCACCGAUAUUGCAUUUUUGUGCAAUGCAAAAAAAUAAAAUAAAACGAAAUUAUGAAUCGGCGCUAAAACUGUUACACAUGUUACAGAUACUUGUAGAAUCCAUCCAAAGGCUGAUAAUCCAAAAUUAUGGAAUAACUCUUUAGCAAGAAAAAUGAGCAAUUCUUGUUACUCUGAAAACAAAUGAGACAAAAUCAUUUGUAAUGUCGCUGGCCAUAGAUGUAUCAGGAAAUUUGAGAACAAUGUUACUGCAUUGGCAAAAAAAUAAUAUGCAUAUAAAUUGUAGCUGCUAAGAUUACCCCUAACUAUGCAUAUUUAGAAAGACCCCUAAACUAAAGUUUAAUACGAAAAAUUACCUAAACUAAAGUUUAAUACGCAAAAUUACUUUUGUACCUCAUGUAUUUUUACUGAUUGGUUUGAACCAAAAAUCCUUAUUGACAUUCAUAAUAUUUUAUAAGUCAGGGUCGCAAAUUGAUGUCUAUCUUGCUAAUAUACACACACACAUAUAUAUACACACACAUAAAAAUAUCGUUUGUUAGUAGUAGUGUAGCAAGUUAUUUAUAAAAUAUUGUUUGAUAAUCUAAUUGAUUAAAAUUAGCAGUAGAAGCUAUAAGAAAACUAUUUCAUGAAAUCGAAAUAAUAUAUGAAGGGCUUGAGGCUUACAAAAUGUGAAAUAUCAAUGUAUGCGUGAAAAUCGUGAAGGAGCUCUUUUUUGCAGACACCUCUGACAAAAUUCCCUUUUCUCAGAAAUAUGAGGCCGUGAAAUGUUCUCAAGAUUUUCCUGUAUAAAGACAACCAAAGGAAUUAAAGCAAUGUGUAGUUGUGUACUGGAAAGAAAAUCAUAAAAUGAUACUAUCAUCACUUUUCCAGUAUAGCAAAGGUAAAUACUGAAUAAAUAACUUCGGUAUGGGCGUACAAAUAAAGAGCUACGAGAAUGGCAAACCAAUUUAUAUUCGACGGAAAUAUAUAUACAUAAGAGGUGUGCAGCAGCAUUAUGUUAUUGCAAGUGAAAUAUAAAAUCUGCAUAAGAAUAUAGUUUACGACUAAUAAACAGGUCACAUAAGAUUCUUUGGUAAAAAAGAAAAAAAAAAAUCAACGCAGUGCGAAUACAACAUAAAAUAUUUGUAACCAACGAUGCAAGGGUUUUUUCGAAAAACACCAGAGAUGAAAAUAUCGACACCCAAUAGGCGCCGAUGGACCAGAAAAUCAUUGAAGCAAAUUCCCCUGCUCUAACUACAAUUAACCUCAAUGGCAUGCUGAUAUUUUUAAGAAAUGAAACACAAUCACAAUAUAUUAGCUAAUUCAAUUAUCAAAUAAAUCUUCAACCAAACAAAGCUUCUGCCUCAAUCUAAUUUCAGAAGUAAAUAAAUAAAAAAAUGAUACUACGAAUUGAAGAAUUUCAUUUAAAAAUAAAAUAUAACUAAAAGAAUUUACACUUGUUUUAAUUAAUAAAUUUCUUCCGAGGUCACAAGCAACAUUAACAAAAAUGGAAGAAAUAAACAAUAAAUCUUACAAAAUGAAGCUCCAAUGGCGAUAAACAAUGAAAGAGGAAGUUGGAAAUCAAUUAUGUGUGCACUUUAAACAUAAAACCCCAACAUGAAACCAAGUACCGCAAAAAUCAAUUCAAUAUGCACCCUGAAUAUAGAACCCUUAUAUUCAGCCUAAACAUAGAACCCUAAUUUUUAAUACCUUAAAUCAUUUUCUCACUGAAUGUGGUACCCUUGGUGUGGGAGGUUGAAGAGAGCGGCGGUGGAGUUGUCGCAGAAAGAGGCGAGAGGAGAUGAACACCGGUACUUUUCUCUCUUCUGUGAAUUAAAGGAAAGAAAG